UUGCGAGACUUGGUGUGAAUUGCAGGACACAUUGAGCACUUACUUUUCGAACGCACAUUGCGGCCUCGGGUCUUACCCGGGGCCACGUCUGUCUGAGGGUCGGAUUAUACUUGCAGAAGGAAGCUUCUUCCUGAUUGGUUGUGCCAGAUGCUUCACUGUGUCUGCUGACCUAAGUUGUGCAAGUUUUCGAUCCCAGCCAAGAGGUGUCCCACUAUAGGAUGUCUGAGAGCGGGAGUGGCAAAGUGGCUGCCUGCGAGCUCGGACCAGUGGUAGAUCACUGAGCUGGGAAGCUUGGAUGUGGAGUAAUUCUCCUACUUAUUUUGUCGACCUCAGAUCAGGCGAGACGACCCGCUGAAUUUAAGCAUAUAACUAAGCGGAGGAAAAGAAACCAACCAGGAUUCCCUC
rnacentral:rRNA from 1 species